rnacentral:lncRNA from 1 species
UUUUUUCGCGAGUAUAUAUAUAUAUAUAUAUCAUGUUGAACGGUGCCGAUCGUCGAUUUGAAGGCUCCAUCAUCAAAAAUAAAUAGGUGGCAAAAGUGCCGAUUUGCUAUCAAUAGUAUUCUAGCUCUAUUAUAUAUAUAUAUAUGGGUCCGGCUACUAUACUAUUAUGAGCACGAUCGCCCUCGUACUCAUAAGUUGUUUUCGAUGAUAGAGCUUCCGAAUCGACGAUCCACACUGUUAAACGUUAAUUACAGCAUUUAAAACUUCUAGAAAUCAAAUUUUAUAAUUUUUCGUCAUCAUUUACCUUACGAUCAAGAGGUCACAAAUUUGACAAUUUUUAACGGCCGGUAUGGGAUACUUGCUAUUCUAACGGUGUAAAAGAAUUAGAAUUUAUUGAAUUUUUUAUAGAAAAUUCUAUUCACUACAUAGAUAAAGAUCAAUAACUCCAAUCUUGAAUUGAAGGAUCCGAUCAUCCUUUUUUAGGACGUCGUUCGAUUUUGACCAUUCAUUUUAUGCCCACUUGAUGGAUUUUAUUAUGAUUUCGAAAAUUUACGAAAUUUAUUUUCUAGAAGUUUCAAAUAUUCUAGAUCAUAUUUAACGGAGUGGAUCGUCGAUUCGGAAGCUCUAUCAUUGAAAACAACUUAUAAGUAUGAGGGCUCUAAUACUAAUGAUAGUAUAGUAGGCAUGGCCUAUAUAAAUAUAUAAUGACAUGUAUAAUAUAUAGGGAUAAUUACCAAUAUAUCUCUCAAAACAUCAAAAAUAUCUCAUUUAUUCCUUUUGUUUCUUUCCAAUAUACCUCUUAUACGUUUCUCCGUUAUUCCAAAAUGCUCCUACAGUUACCAAGUUAACUUGAGUUAAAGGUGAGUUAAAUAUUUAUCAGAGUUAGAAAAAAUUAAAAUAUUUCUUUUGCCUUUAACUUAAUGACAAAUAAGAAUUAUUAAUGAUAGUGGAAGGGUAUAUUUGAAAAGACUAAAAAGUAAAAUUACUUUUUUGUGCCCCUAACUUAAGAGCAAAUAAAAAAAGACGGUGAUGGUAGAAGAGUAUAUUUGAAAAAGUAGAAUAGUAAUUUUGUAGAAAUAACAGCUAUUACUAGGAUAUAUUUGAAAUAUAUUGCAAUGUAAAAAAUAUUUUUUAGUUUUAAUCUUCUAAGAUGAGUAAAUUAGAAAGUGAAAAAUUUUUCAAGGAUAUAUAAGCAAUUGCUCUAGUGUAUAUUAUAAAUUUGCAAGCAUUUAAUUUCCAAAUAAUAAUAAUAAUAUAUAGUGUUAUUACUAUUUUAUAUAAAUAACAUAUAAUAUAAUAUAAAAAAUAUAUAUAAAUAAUAUUUUCUUCAUCUUUUCCUUUCAACCAAAUAAACAAUGAUGCAAAAAAAUUUUUUUCCUAUAAACCAAACAUUA